rnacentral:rRNA from 1 species
GCUACGGGGGGCUGCAGUGGGGAAUAUUGGGCAAUGGGCGCAAGCCUGACCCAGCAACGCCGCGUGAAGGAAGAAGGCUUUCGGGUUGUAAACUUCUUUUGUCAGGGAAGAGGAGAAGACGGUACCUGACGAAUAAGCCACGGCUAACUACGGGCCAGCAGCCGCGGUAAUACGGAGGUGGAAAUCGUUGUCCGGCUUUACUGGGUGUAAAGGGCGUGUAGCCGGGUUGACAAGUCAGAGGUGAAAUCCUGCGGCUUAACCGCAGAACUGCAUUUGAAACUGUUGAUCUUGAGUACUGGAGAGGCAGACGGAAUUCCUAGUGUAGCGGUGACAUGCGUAGAUAUUAGGAGGAACACCAGUGGCGAAGGCGGUCUGCUGGACAGCAACUGCCGGUGAGGCGCGAAAGCGUGGGGAGCAAACAGGAUUAGAUACCCUUGUAGUC